UGGCAAUGAGGAUUAAAUUUUAUACCAUCAAACUUUGAAAGCUUUAGCUUGUUGAUGCAAAUCACAACUAUAAUCUCUGAGCCU